CCUACGGGUUGCACCAGUGGGGAAUAUUGCACAAUGGGCGCAAGCCUGAUGCAGCCAUGCCGCGUGUAUGAAGAAGGCCUUCGGGUUGUAAAGUACUUCCAGCGAGGAGGAAGGCAUUAAGGUUAAUAACCUUGGUGAUUGACGUUAGUCGCAGAAGAAGCACCGGCUAACUCCGUGCCAGCAGCCGCGGUAAUACGGAGGGUGCAAGCGUUAAUCGGAAUUACUGGGCGUAAAGCGCACGCAGGCGGUCUGUCAAGUCGGAUGUGAAAUCCCCGGGCUCAACCUGAGAACUGCAUUCGAAACUGGCAGGCUAGAGUCUUGUAGAGGGGGGUAGAAUUCCAGGUGUAGCGGUGAAAUGCGUAGAGAUCUGGAGGAAUACCGGUGGCGAAGGCGGCCCCCUGGACAAAGACUGACGCUCAGGUGCGAAAGCGUGGGGAGCAAACAGGAUUAGAUACCCGCGUAGUC
rnacentral:rRNA from 1 species